rnacentral:rRNA from 1 species
AUUGAACGCUGGCGGCAUGCUUUACACAUGCAAGUCGAACGGUAACAGGCCUUCGGGUGCUGACGAGUGGCGGACGGGUGCGUAAUGCAGCGGAAUGCACCCAGAGGUGGGGGAUAACGCAGCGAAAGCUGUGCUAAUACCGCAUGAGAUCUGAGGAUGACAGCGGGGGACCGAGCAGCAAUGUUUGGCCUCGCGCCUUUGGAGCGGCCGAUGUCGGAUUAGCUAGUUGGCGGGGUAAAGGCCUACCAAGGCGACGAUCCGUAGCUGGUCUGAGAGGACGACCAGCCACACUGGAACUGAGACACGGCCCAGACUCCUACGGGAGGCAGCAGUGGGGAAUUUUGGACAAUGGGCGCAAGCCUGAUCCAGCAAUGCCGCGUGCGGGAAGAAGGCCUUCGGGUUGUAAACCGCUUUUGGCAGGAACGAAACGGUGUCCGCUAAUACCGGGCGGUAAUGACGGUACCUGAAGAAUAAGCACCGGCUAACUACGUG